rfam:Erinaceus europaeus unplaced genomic scaffold scaffold00247, whole genome shotgun sequence
UCCUGAUGAUCCUCUUCCUGAGUGGCUCCAGUGAUGAGCAAAACUGAGCCUCUAAAAAGUUGACUGAA